rnacentral:rRNA from 1 species
AUUGAACGCUGGCGGCAUGCUUUACACAUGCAAGUCGAACGGUAACAGGCCGCAAGGUGCUGACGAGUGGCGAACGGGUGAGUAAUGCAUCGGAACGUGCCCAGUCGUGGGGGAUAACGCAGCGAAAGCUGUGCUAAUACCGCAUACGAUCUAUGGAUGAAAGCGGGGGACCGUAAGGCCUCGCGCGAUUGGAGCGGCCGAUGUCAGAUUAGGUAGUUGGUGGGGUAGAGGCUCACCAAGCCAACGAUCUGUAGCUGGGCUGAGAGGACGACCAGCCACACUGGGACUGUGACACGGCCCAGACUCCUACGGGAGGCAGCAGUGGGGAAUUUUGGACAAUGGGCGCAAGCCUGAUCCAGCAAUGCCGCGUGCAGGAAGAAGGCCUUCGGGUUGUAAACUGCUUUUGUACGGAACGAAACGGUCUGGGUUAAUACCCUGGGCUAAUGACGGUACCGUAAGAAUAAGCACCGGCUAACUACGUGCCAGCCGCCGCGGUAAAAC